GACGAACCGUCCAAACGUUAUUCGGAAUUACUGGGCGUAAAGGGUGCGUAGGCGGCGCGGUAAGUCGGGUGUGAAAUCUCGGAGCUUAACUCCGAAACUGCAUUCGAUACUGCCGUGCUUGAGGACUGGAGAGGAGACUGGAAUUUACGGUGUAGCGGUGAAAUGCGCAGAUAUCAGGAAGAACACCCGUGGCGAAGGCGGCUCUCUGGGACGGUACUGACGCUGAGACGCGAAAGCGUGGGGAGCAAACAGG
rnacentral:rRNA from 1 species